rnacentral:tRNA from 1 species
GAAAUAGGGUUAAACCAAAACAAGGCUUCUAACCUUAUUUUAAGUCACUAGAUUUCUAUUUCA